AUUUUUCUCAAUGGGGGAAACCCUGAAGGAGCGACGCCGCGUGGGGGAUGAAUGGCUUCGGCCCGUAAACCCCUGUCAUUUGCGAACAAAACUUACGUUUUAAUAGAAUGUGAGCUGAUUGUAGCGAAAGAGGAAGGGACGGCUAACUCUGUGCCAGCAGCCGCGGUAAUACAGAGGUCCCAAGCGUUGUUCGGAUUCACUGGGCGUAAAGGGUGCGUAGGCGGUCGGGUAAGUUUGAUGUGAAAGCUCUGAGCUCAACUCAGAAAUGGCAUUGAAUACUAUUCGGCUAGAGAGUCGGAGGGGGGACUGGAAUACUUGGUGUAGCAGUGAAAUGCGUAGAUAUCAAGUGGAACACCAGUGGCGAAGGCGAGUCCCUGGACGAUUUCUGACGCUGAGGCACGAAAGCUAGGGGAGCAAA
rnacentral:rRNA from 1 species